UGCAUGGAGUCUUACUAUUCUUGCCUGAUC
rnacentral:piRNA from 1 species